rnacentral:rRNA from 1 species
UUGUGCCUACGGGGGGCAGCAGUGGGGAAUAUUGCACAAUGGGGGAAACCCUGAUGCAGCAACGCCGCGUGAAGGAAGACGGUUUUCGGAUUGUAAACUUCUGUUCUUAGUGAAGAAGAAUGACGGUAGCUAAGGAGCAAGCCACGGCUAACUACGUGCCAGCAGCCGCGGUAAUACGUAUGGUGCAAGCGUUAUCCGGAUUUACUGGGUGUAAAGGGAGCGCAGGCGGCGCGUUAAGCCUGGUGUGAAAGCCCGCGGCCCAACCGCGGGACUGCAUUGGGAACUGGCGCGCUGGAGGGCCGGCG